rnacentral:rRNA from 1 species
AUGGAAGCACCACCUUACGAGUAUCAGCUGGCCGUGGCUGAUUAUUGGGAGGGGAGGCCGGCCAUGGAUCCAAAUGUAUGGGUUCCCGGCGUCCCUUUGGAGAUGACAGUUGCUCCUCCUGCCAGCCACAGUGGUCUGGUGGAUGGCUCUCCCGGACGACAGCAGCUGAAGCUGGUUGAGGAGGAGAGCAUUGAUCAUCAUUACGCGGUUGAAGUGUUCAAGCAAGCAGCACAAUCACUUCAGGGUGAACGUGACAAGAUGGAGACGAAGAUCCACCUGUUCCCUCCAAGCAUGGGGGAUCUGGCGGCCAAGUACGCCUUCCCCAAGGUGGUGGCCAUCGGCCCUUACCACCAUGGCCGGACCCCGGCCCUCCGGCUGAUGGAGAGCACCAAGCAUGUGGCCGCCUGGCACUUCAUCAACGACUCGGGCCGCUUGGUGGAGGAGGUGUACGGGGCGGUGUGCGCGGUGGCGGAGGAGGCCCGCAGCCACUACGACGUGGACAAGGUGCGGGAUUUCGGCGACGACGACUUCAACCCUAUGAUGUUCUACGACGGCUGCUUCCUGCUGCAGUUCCUGCUGCAUUGGGUUGACGAGGCGGUGGAUCCGCUGCUGAAGGAUGCUUUCAGCUCCAACUGCACCAGCAUCAGUUACGACAUCGCGCUGCUCGAGAACCAGCUCCCAUGGGUGGUGGUCCAAGAGCUGAUGCGCUUCAUGCCGACGCCCCCGGACCUGGUACUGGUACGGUUCACCACGGGAUGGAAGGCCUCUAUGCAGCCCACCGUACCGCUAGUAGACAACAGCCCUCUUGCAUGGGACGACAGCUACACGCCGCUGCAUCUUCUUGAGCUCCUCCGAUACUACAUCGUAGGAAGCACUACCAAGACGCCGCCCCAGCCGGAAGUUCAUAAAAAAGCGGAGAAGAUAUCAAUUUCCGUCAGUGCCAUCGAGCUCGCGGAGAUCGGCAUCGAGAUCACGGCCACCAAGCCUACGGCAGAUUUCAAGGAAAUGGGCGUCAAAAAGAAAAAGUCGCUCCUCACCGGCGAGCUCUUCUUGUUGGCGCCGCCUCCUCGCAGCGCCGCUUCUUCUUCUACCUCGAGCUCCCUCACAAAACUCUCUUACAAUGCAAACGCGAGCUUCCUCGUCAACAUGGCGGUUUUGGAGCUAUGCACGACCCCAGACUUUUCUGUAGAGGUCGAGGAGAAGUCCGCUGUCUGCUCCUACCUCUGCCUCCUGGGCAUGGUGACGGACAACGAGGAGGAUGUGCAGCAGCUGCGGAAGAAGGGUAUCUUGCAGGGAGGUGCAGGGCUCAGCAACAAGGACGCGCUGGAACUGCUCAGCAGGGUGGAGAACCGGCUGCGCUCCGGAACCCACUAUCUGAGGACCAUGGUGCUCAUCGAGAACUACAGGAAGGAGAGGCCGAGGCGGAUCAAGUUUCACAAGUUCCAUUACAACUACCGCAAAGCCAUCAUCUUGACAUUGUCCGGUGUUGCUGGGCUUGCCAGCUUCCUCGGGGCGCUCAAGUCUCUCAACUCAAGUAAGAGCUAG